UACGUAGGGUGCAAGCGUUAUUCGGAAUUACUGGGCGUAAAGCGUGCGCAGGCGGUUGUGCAAGACAGAUGUGAAAUCCCCGGGCUCAACCUGGGAACUGCAUUUGAGACUGCACGGCUGGAGUGCGGCAGAGGGGGAUGGAAUUCCGCGUGUAGCAGUGAAAUGCGUAGAUAUGCGGAGGAACACCGAUGGCGAAGGCAAUCCCCUGGGCCUGCACUGACGCUCAUGCACGAAAGCGUGGGGAGCAAACAGG
rnacentral:rRNA from 1 species